CCGGGGAGUACGCACGCAAGUGUGAAACUCAAAGGAAUUGACGGGGGCCCGCGACAAGCGGUGGAGUAUGUGGUUUAAUUCGAUGCAACGCGAAGAACCUUACCAGGACUUGACAUGUCGCGAAUCCAGUGGAAACACAGGAGUGCCUUCGGGAGCGCGAACACAGGUGGUGCAUGGCUGUCGUCAGCUCGUGUCGUGGGAUGUUGGGUUAAGUCCCGCAACGAGCGCAACCCUCGUGUUUAGUUGCCAUCAUUAAGUUGGGCACUCUAAUGAGACUGCCGGUGAUAAACCGGAGGAAGGUGGGGAUGACGUCAAGUCAUCAUGCCCCUUAUGACCUGGGCUACACACGUGCUACAAUGGACAGUACAACGAGAAGCGAGCCUGCGAAGGCAAGCGAAUCUCUGAAAGCUGUUCUCAGUUCGGACUGCAGUCUGCAACUCGACUGCACGAAGCUGGAAUCGCUAGUAAUCGCGGAUCAGAACGCCGCGGUGAAUACGUUCCCGGUCGACGCGGCCG
rnacentral:rRNA from 1 species